rnacentral:snRNA from 1 species
GUGCUUGUUUUGGCAGCACCUAUACUAAAAUUGGAUUUAGUUAUUAACCUGGCCCCUGAACAAGGAUGACAUGUAGUUUGUGAAGAAUACCAUAUUGAA